UACGUAGGGUGCGAGCGUUAAUCGGAAUUACUGGGCGUAAAGCGUGCGCAGGCGGUGAUGUAAGACAGGUGUGAAAUCCCCGGGCUUAACCUGGGAACUGCAUUUGUGACUGCAUCGCUGGAGUGCGGCAGAGGGGGAUGGAAUUCCGCGUGUAGCAGUGAAAUGCGUAGAUAUGCAGAGGAACACCGAUGGCGAAGGCAAUCCCCUGGGCCUGCACUGACGCUCAUGCACGAAAGCGUGGGUAGCAAACAGG
rnacentral:rRNA from 1 species